CUCUCCUUCGCCUAGUUGGUUAUGGCACCUGCCUUACAAGCAGGCAAAACCCUGGUUCGAAUCCAGGAGGGGAGA
rnacentral:tRNA from 1 species